rnacentral:rRNA from 1 species
UACGUAGGUGGCAAGCGUUACUCGGAAUCACUAGGCGUAAAGCGCAGGUAGGCGGUUUGAUAAGUCUCUUGUGAAAGCUCCCGGCUUAACUGGGAGAGGUCAAGGGAAACUGUCAGGCUAGAGUGUGGCAGAGGAAGCUGGAAUUCCCGGUGUAGCGGUGAAAUGCGUAGAUAUCGGGAGGAAUACCUAUGGCGAAAGCAGGCUUCUGGGCCGUCACUGACGCUGAGCUGCGAAAGCUAGGGGAGCAAACAGG